rnacentral:rRNA from 1 species
CCUACGGGAGGCAGCAGUGAGGAAUAUUGGUCAAUGGGCGGGAGCCUGAACCAGCCAAGCCGCGUGAGGGAAGAAGGUACAGCGUAUCGUAAACCUCUUUUGUCAGGGAACAAAGGCGGGGACUAGUCCCCGGAUGCGGGUACCUUAAGAACAAGCAUCGGCUAACUCCGUGCCAGCAGCCGCGGUAAUACGGAGGAUGCGAGCGUUAUCCGGAUUUAUUGGGUUUAAAGGGUGCGCAGGCGGCCUGUUAAGUCAGCGGUAAAAGGCCGGGGCUCAACCCCGGCGAGCCGUUGAAACUGGCGGGCUGGAGUGGGAGGGAAGUACGCGGAAUGCGCGGUGUAGCGGUGAAAUGCUUAGAUAUCGCGCAGAACCCCGAUUGCGAAGGCAGCGUACCGGAUCCAAACUGACGCUGAGGCACGAAAGCGUGGGUAUCGAACAGGAUUAGAUACCCUGGUAGUC